rnacentral:rRNA from 1 species
AAGGUUAACCGCAUAGGGGAGCCGUAGGGAAACCGAGUCUUAACCGGGCGUUAAGUUGCAGGGUAUAGACCCGAAACCCGGUGAUCUAGCCAUGGGCAGGUUGAAGGUUGGGUAACACUAACUGGAGGACCGAACCGACUAAUGUUGAAAAAUUAGCGGAUGACCUGUGGCUGGGGGUGAAAGGCCAAUCAAACCGGGAGAUAGCUGGUUCUCCCCGAAAGCUAUUUAGGUAGCGCCUCGUGAAUUCAUCUCCGGGGGUAGAGCACUGUUUCGGCUAGGGGGCCAUCCCGGCUUACCAACCCGAUGCAAACUGCGAAUACCGGAGAAUGUUAUCACGGGAGACACACGGCGGGUGCUAACGUCCGUCGUGAAGAGGGAAACAACCCAGACCGCCAGCUAAGGUCCCAAAGUCAUGGUUAAGUGGGAAACGAUGUGGGAAGGCCCAGACAGCCAGGAUGUUGGCUUAGAAGCAGCCAUCAUUUAAAGAAAGCGUAAUAGCUCACUGGUCGAGUCGGCCUGCGCGGAAGAUGUAACGGGGCUAAACCAU